rnacentral:tRNA from 1 species
GUUUUUAUAGUUGAAUACAACAUUAGUUUUUCAGACUUAAGGUCUAGGUUAGAGUCCUAGUAAAAAUA